rnacentral:lncRNA from 1 species
UCAAAAUGCUUGGAAAAAAGAAUAAGAAAAUCAACUCAAACAAAUUUGCAAUAAAUAAAUAAAAUGAAAAAAUAAAUUCAACUAAAAAAAUUCAUAUGAAAAAAAUGAAGUUGCAAUUGCUAAAAAUUUAAAAAUCCUAUAAAUAAAUCAAUAAAAAUUGAUCUCAUAUGAAAAAAAAAAUCUCACAACAACAUUUAUACAAUUAUUAAGAACAAAAACAAUUAAAAAUAAAAUAAAAAAACAAAUAUAGUGAAAAAAAUCAUGAAAAAAGAAGAAAAAA